rnacentral:rRNA from 1 species
UACGUAGGUGGCAAGCGUUGUCCGGAAUCACUGGGCGUAAAGCGCACGUAGGCGGAUUGUUAAGUCAGGGGUGAAAUCCUGGAGCUCAACUCCAGAACUGCCUUUGAUACUGGCGAUCUUGAGUCCGGGAGAGGUGAGUGGAACUGCGAGUGUAGAGGUGAAAUUCGUAGAUAUUCGCAAGAACACCAGUGGCGAAGGCGGCUCACUGGCCCGGUACUGACGCUGAGGUGCGAAAGCGUGGGGAGCAAACAGG